AGGUCAUUGCUAUUGGAGUCCGAUUUAGCCAUGCUAGUUGUACGAGUUUAGACCUCGUACCAAAUAGCUCAGUAACACGUGGCCAAACUACCCUAUCGAGCACGAUACUCUCGGGAAACUGAGGUUAAUAGUGCAUACGGCUCGCUGCCUGGAGUGGCGCGAGCUCGAAAUGCUCAGGCGCGAUAGGAUGUGGCUGCGGCCGAUUAGGUAGACGGUGGGGUAACGGCCCACCGUGCCGAUAAUCGGUACGGGUUGUGAGAGCAAGAGCCCGGAGACGGUAUCUGAGACAAGAUACCGGGCCCUACGGGGCGCAGCAGGCGCGAAACCUUUACACUGCACGAGAGUGCGAUAAGGGGACUCCAAGUGCGAGGGCAUAUAGUCCUCGCUUUUUCCGACCGUAGGAUGGUCGGCGAAUAAGUGCUGGGCAAGACCGGUGCCAGCCGCCGCGGUAAUACCGGCAGCACAAGUGAUGACCGCUAUUAUUGGGCCUAAAGCGUCCGUAGCUGGCCACGCAAGUCCGUCGGGAAAUCUCCCCGCUCAACGGGGAGGCGUCCGGUGGAAACUGCAUGGCUUGGGACCGGAAGAUCCAGAGGGUACGUCUGGGGUAGGAGUGAAAUCCUAUAAUCCGAGACGGACCACCGGUGGCGAAAGCGCUCUGGAAAGACGGAUCCGACGGUGAGGGACGAAAGCUCGGGUCACGAACCGGAUUAGAUACCCGGGUAGUCCGAGCUGUAAACGAUGUCUGCUAGGUGUGGCACAGGCUACGAGCCUGUGCUGUGCCGUAGGGAAGCCGUGAAGCAGACCGCCUGGGAAGUACGUCUGCAAGGAUGAAACUUAAAGGAAUUGGCGGGGGAGCACUACAACCGGAGGAGCCUGCGGUUU
rnacentral:rRNA from 1 species